CCUAGUGCGCGUGCGUAAUGGCGGCUCCGUACGGCGGCUCUGUACGGCGCCUGCGUACGGCGGUUGCGUUCGCUGAGGCGGUGUGGUUGAGCGGAGCAUGCGCAGGUGUCCCGUCCGAGCUGAAGCGGUCGGUAUGGCUGCCAGUGCCAAGUCGUUCCUGUCCGAUGCGGGCUAUGGGGAGCAGGAGCUGGACGCGAACUCUGCUCUCAUGGAAGUCGACAAAGGUCUCAGGUAUGGGAAGCUCGGAGAGCAGUGCGAAGCCGUCGUUCGUUUUCCCAGGCUCUUCCAGAAAUACCCGUUCCCCAUUCUCAUUAAUUCAGCUUUCCUAAAGUUGGCUGAUGUGUUCUGAGUCGGAAACAACUUCCUGAGGCUCUGUGUGCUGAAAGUUACUCAGCAGAGUGAGAAGCACUUAAGAGAAGAUCCUAAAUGUGGAUGAGUUCGUCAAAAGAGUCUUCUCCGUCAUUCACAGCAAUGAUCCAGUUGCUCGGGCCAUUACCCUUCGGAUGUUGGGCAGCAUAGCGUCUGUCAUUCCAGAAAGGAAGAAUGCACAUCACAGUAUUCGUCAAAGUUUGGAUUCCCAUGAUAAUGUGGAAGUUGAGGCUGCAAUAUUUGCUGCUGCCAAUUUUUCUGCACAAUCAAAGGAUUUUGCUGCUGGCAUAUGUAAUAAAAUCAGCGAGAUGAUACAAGGUUUGGCCACACCUGUGGACUUAUUGAAGUUGAUCCCUAUUCUACAGCACAUGCAUCAUGAUGCUAGCCUAGCCUCCAGCUCCCGGCAGCUGCUCCAGCAGCUGGUAACAUCAUAUCCCUCCACCAAGAUGGUCAUUGUUACUCUGCACACCUUUACUCUGCUUGCUGCUUCUUCUUUGGUUGACAUUCCUAAGCAGGUAAUUCUUCCUAAUUAUGUCUUUCAACUUAAAGCACAUUUAAAAGACCUCAGAUUCUAGCUGAUGCUGAAAAAUAAAUGCACAGAUAUGCUGGGAUGGUUGCUUCUAUGUGCUAUAGAGAAAGAA